rnacentral:rRNA from 1 species
GACGAACGCUGGCGGCGUGCUUAACACAUGCAAGUCGAACGGUAAGGCCUUCGGGUACACGAGUGGCGAACGGGUGAGUAACACGUGGGUGAUCUGCCCUGCACUUUGGGAUAAGCCUGGGAAACUGGGUCUAAUACCGAAUAGGACUACGGCCUGCAUGGGUUGUGGUGGAAAGCUUUUGCGGUGUGGGAUGGGCCCGCGGCCUAUCAGCUUGUUGGUGAGGUCACGGCUCACCAAGGCGACGACGGGUAGCCGGCCUGAGAGGGUGACCGGCCACACUGGGACUGAGAUAGGGCCCCGACUCCUACGGGAGGCAGCAGUGGGGAAUAUUGGACAAUGGGCGCAAGCCUGAUGCAGCGACGCCGCGUGAGGGAUGACGGCCUUCGGGUUGUAAACCUCUUUCAGUAGGGACGAAGCGCAAGUGACGGUACCUAUAGAAGAAGGACCGGCCAACUACGUGCCAGCCGCCGCAGUAA